rnacentral:rRNA from 1 species
GACGAACGCUGGCGGCGUGCUUAACACAUGCAAGUCGAACGGUGAACCUCUUCGGAGGGGAUCAGUGGCGAACGGGUGAGUAACACGUGGGCAACCUGCCCCCGGCUCUGGGAUAACUCCAAGAAAUUGGGGCUAAUACCGGAUGUUCACCGCUUCCCGCAUGGGUGGUGGUGGAAAGGGUUUCCGGCUGGGGAUGGGCCCGCGGCCUAUCAGCUUGUUGGUGGGGUAGUGGCCUACCAAGGCGACGACGGGUAGCCGGCCUGAGAGGGUGACCGGCCACACUGGGACUGAGACACGGCCCAGACUCCUACGGGAGGCAGCAGUGGGGAAUAUUGCGCAAUGGGCGGAAGCCUGACGCAGCGACGCCGCGUGGGGGAUGACGGCCUUCGGGUUGUAAACCUCUUUCAGCAGGGACGAAGCGCAAGUGACGGUACCUGCAGAAGAAGCACCGGCCGACUACGUG